rnacentral:rRNA from 1 species
CAUGGAUAACAGUGGUAAUUCUAGAGCUAAUACAUGCUGAAAAUCCCGACUUCGGAAGGGACGUAUUUAUUAGAAUCAGAACCAAUGCCCUUCGGGGUUCUUUGGUGAAUCAUGAUAACUCCACAGAUCGCAUGGCCUUGCGCCGGCGAUGGCUCAUUCAAAUUUCUUCCCUAUCAACUUUCGACGGUACGGUCUUGGCCUACCGUGGUUGCAACGGGUGACGGAGGGUUAGGGCUCGACCCCGGAGAAGGAGCCUGAGAAACGGCUACUACAUCCAAGGAAGGCAGCAGGCGCGCAAAUUAUCCAAUCCCGACUCGGGGAGAUAGUGACAAUAAAUACCGAUACAGGGCUCUUUUGGGCCCUGUAAUUGGAAUGAGUACAAUUUAAACCUCUUAACGAGGAACAAUUGGAGGGCAAGUCUGGUGCCAGCAGCCGCGGUAAUUCCAGCUCCAAUAGCGUAUAUUAAAGUUGUUGUGGUUAAAAAGCUCGUAGUCGAACCUCGAGCCUGGCCGGCCGGUCCGCCUCACCGCGUGCACUGGUCUGGCCGGGCUCUUCCCUCUGCGGAACCGCAUGCCCUUCACUGGGCGUGUCGGGGAGGCAGGACUUUUACUUUGAAAAAAUUAGAGUGCUCAAGGCAGGCCAAUGCUCGAAUACAUUAGCAUGGAAUAAUAGAAUAGGACGUUGGUUCUAUUUUGUUGGUUUCUAGGACCGCCGUAAUGAUCAAUAGGGACGGUCGGGGGCAUCAGUAUUCAGCCGUCAGAGGUGAAAUUCUUGGACCGGCUGAAGACUAACUACUGCGAAAGCAUUUGCCAAGGACGUUUUCGCUGAUCAGGAACGAAAGUUAGGGGAUCGAAGACGAUCAGAUACCGUCGUAGUCUUAACCAUAAACUAUGCCGACUAGGGAUCGGGCGG